ACAAUCCCCUCGUUCCCUUCAACUCCUCCCUCGCACCUGAUCGCUCCCACAAUCAAAAAGCCAUUCUUUUCGAGCUCCUCCAAGGUCAAGAACACCUGCAUCUCAUCCAGAGAAGUUGCGGUGAGGGGGUUUCCUUUCCCUUCCAAUAAGAAGAAAUGGCUGCCAUGAACUCCAGUGUGCUGGCAUGCAACUAUGCUCUCCCAGGAGCAUCAGAAUCUAGCUUGAAGCUCAUGCCAAUGGCAUCAACUGCAUCAACUUCAGCUUCUAGGCCAAAAUUGCCAGUGAUCAGAGCCCAGCAAGUUCGAGCAGCCGAACCAAAGGAAGGAAGAGGAAUUGAGGGAAGAAGAGCUGCACUCCUCGGCUUGGCUGCCGCUCUCUUCACCACAGCGGCCGCUACCUCGCCGGCUAAUGCUGGUGUCAUUGAGGAGUAUCUUGAGAGAAGCAAAGCCAACAAGGAACUGAAUGACAAAAAGAGGUUGGCUACAAGUGGUGCAAACUUUGCUCGGGCAUACACAGUGGAGUUUGGCACAUGCAAGUUCCCUGAGAACUUCACUGGGUGCCAAGAUUUGGCUAAACAAAAGGUUUGAGAUGCUGUCAAAAUUCUUAUCUGUCUGCUAUAUAGCUAAAUUAUAUAUUUGGCGUGCAAAGAGAUAUACAUGUGUGCCAGGAAAUGCUCGGCAUAGUUUUGACUCUCCAAUUAAAUGCAAGUUUUUAGUAAUUGUUGCCUGAGUCCUGAAUUGGUGCGUCUCCUAAGUUCGCUCCAAAUGCACUCCAUUCUAAUUCUUACUGAUUUUUAGGAAAUCCAGUCUUCUUGUCUACAUAAGCUGGAUUUCGGGCGCGUAAAUAUUUUUUUCAAUGUCCUCAAACGAUGACCAAUUCUAAUUCUGGUUCUCAGGCAUAUGUGGUGAUUAAUGAAGAGUACAUAGUGAAAAUACUAAAAUUAUUGAAGUAUAUCUUAAUUUUCCAAUUUCAACUAGAUAGAAUAGCUACACUAUGCGCUGAGAAACUCUUGUAUUUUGCACUUGGCAUUUGAAAUUGUAUUAUCAGGUUUAUAUUUAAAAUUUUCAGCUA